UCUGGCUGGCCUUGUCCUCUGGUGGUGACCUCUCAUUUGCCCCUAAAACAGUGGGGCUCUGUUCCUUCAUUCCUAUGGAAAAGAACUGGUCUUCAUGUCCAGGAACCAUGGCCAAAAUUAGAAUUGGCCACUGAGCCCGGCCGGGCUCACGGAACCAUCUGCAGCCCCGGGCAGAUAUUGACUCUGCCAGUGCUGCCAUCCUCCCUCCAGUGAGAGAAAAGGACACAGGGCAGGCACACAGAGGAGCAACAUGAAGACACCGAGGCAUUGAAAAGUAUGGGGAGAUGACUUGUUUCAGCAAAGGCCUCCACGCUAAAGUAAGCAAAUGUUGAAGUAGCUGAGAUCCCAUGAGAAGUUUGAACAGAGAAAGAGAGCAGAGUGAUGAGACCCUGUGCCCUCAGGGAGAGAAGAAGACCUCUGUUCCCAGAGAUGAUUUCAGAAGCAGUUGAAGAGAACCUCUGGUCUUGAACAGCUCAUCUUUAAACUAAUACCCCAUAAGCUGACAUGGCCCAUGACACACAGCUGUGGGAAAAGCUGUGAAAAAAUGGCAGGGAUUUCACUAUUUCACUUUUUCCGAGUGGCUGCUAUUCAUGGAACUUGAGAACCACAAGAGAACUGUUUCCUUAUGGAGAAGCCUCCAUAGCAAGAAAAAGAGACUCCUCUCCCUAAGUGAAGUGAAGAAGGACUAUUCUAGAGGUGGUAGACUGGCUGAAAAUUUUAGGUUUUGUCUCCUUACGUUGUCAAUAAGGAAGAAAAAUUUGUGGCGAGAAGAAGAGUGUUCUGAAAGUUUUGUGCUGAUUCUUAUUACUCUUUCUUUUAGUUACUGCUAAUAAACUUUUCUUUAUGC